AUGAAAGUGGGGUUGUAUCCAAACCUGCCCUUCUUCCCUGAACAGCCACCCACAGGAUCUGAAGGACAAAUCAGUCUGAACUUCAUAUGCUGAGGACAUAGGAGCACUUAGCUAAAGCAUAAGGCAUUUUCUAAUACAAAUAGUAACAGAGCACAGGAUAUUGUGGUAGGAUCUUCCUCUCCACCAUUAAUGGCAUUCGUGGCACAUCUUAUAUAUUUUUGCUUUUAACUUACUUCUUUCUCAUACAUCCUGACAGCAACCUCCCCUCCAUAUUGUCCUCCAAGACAAUGGCAUUGCCACCUCUCCAAAAUCCACUGCUGCUGUAUUUCCUAUCAGAGAACGGCUGACUUCCCAGUGAUGUCCACUGGUCAAGGCUUGAAAAGAUAAUCAUGGGCUCUGGAAUAUUCUGAAUGGGCUGGCAGCGACCAUGAUGCUUGUCUUCUUCAUCUUCCUCAUGUAUUCUUGGUGCUCUGCCAAAAAGAAAAACAACCUAAAGAAGAAGCCAGCCAGAGUCAUGUGAGGAGUUUGAGGAAGCAAGACCAGAUGAGCACAGAUGUGUAUUGUUCAUUUACACAAAGGUACAUGACCCAAGACAGAGCCACUGAGGCGUGGCUUUCUAGAAAGAGCAACAGAGAUCCUGCUCUUCCUCUCAUCUCUCACAGCACUAUUUCCUCAAUGCAUCUUCUGUGUCCCAUAUACUGAUUUGCUUGUUUUUUUGUUACUAUUUGGGGGUCUGUCACCCCACUCCCAAAUAAACAAAGACUUAUUCAUAGUUA